UUUUCGGUUAAUCUGUACGCUCACGUACAGGCUGCCGGGAAUACUGCAAAGCUAGGGAGUGGGAGAGGUAGACGGUACUCGGUAGGAAGGGGUAAAAUCCUUUGAUCUAUUGAUGACCACCUGUGGCGAAGGCGGUCUACCAGAACACGUCCGACGGUGAGGGAUGAAAGCUGGGGGAGCAAACCGGAUUAGAUACCCGGGUAGUCCCAGCUGUAAACCAUGCAAACUCAGUGAUGCAUUGGCUUGUGGCCAAUGCAGUGCUGCAGGGAAGCCGUUAAGUUUGCCGCCUGGGAAGUACGUACGCAAGUAUGAAACUUAAAGGAAUUGGCGGGGGAGCACCACAAGGGGUGAAGCCUGCGGUUCAAUUGGAGUCAACGCCAGAAAUCUUACCCGGAGAGACAGCAGAAUGAAGGUCAAGCUGAAGACUUUACCAGACAAGCUGAGAGGUGGUGCAUGGCCGUCGCCAGCUCGUGCCGUGAGAUGUCCUGUUAAGUCAGGUAACGAGCGAGAUCCCUGCCUCUAGUUGCCACCAUUACUCUCAGGAGUAGUGGGGCGAAUUAGCGGGACCGCCGCAGUUAAUGCGGAGGAAGGAAGGGGCCACGGCAGGUCAGUAUGCCCCGAAACUCUGGGGCCACACGCGGGCUGCAAUGGUAACGACAAUUGGUUUCGAAUCCGAAAGGAUGAGGUAAUCCUCAAACGUUACCACAGUUAUGACUGAGGGCUGCAACUCGCCCUCACGAAUAUGGAAUCCCUAGUAACUGCGUGUCAUUAUCGCGCGGUGAAUACGUCCCUGCUCCUUGCAC
rnacentral:rRNA from 1 species